rnacentral:rRNA from 1 species
CAGUAGCCACGGUAAUACGAAGGGGGCUAGCGUUGUUCGGAAUCACUGGGCGUAAAGCGCACGUAGGCGGAUACUUAAGUCAGGGGUGGAAUCCCGGGGCUCAACCUCGGAACUGCCUUUGAUACUGGGUAUCUUGAGUCCGGGAGAGGUUGGUGGAACUCCGAGUGUAGAGGUGAAAUUCGUAGAUAUUCGGAAGAACACCAGUGGCGAAGGCGGCCAACUGGCCCGGUACUGACGCUGAGGUGCGAAAGCGUGGGGAGCAAACAGGAUUAGAUACCCCCGUAGUCCCUGUCUCUUAUAA